GGCCACAAAGAGAGCCAAUUCUGGAAAUGUUCCAGUGUACAUUCCCCACUCCCUCCACACAGUGAUACUGCAUACAGGUUGAGCACCCCUAAUAUCUGAAAAUCCGAAAUCUUGUAUUCUCCAAAAUGUGAAGCUUUUUGCAUGUGGACACAACACCACAAAUGAAAACUUUCACAUCCAGCCUUAUGUGAUGGUGGGUCACAGUGAAAAUGCAGGUAUGCUAAAAAUAUAUAAAACUACCUUUAGGCUGUUUGUAGGUAUAUGUAAAACAUGCAUGGAUUUUAUGUUUAGAUUUGGUCUCAAGAUCCCAAAUAAACAACCUAAUGGGAUGCAUCCGAAGGCCUUGAGAAAGAACAAACCAAUUCCAAAAUCAGUAGAAGGAAGGGAAUAAUGAAGAUCAGAAUCAAAAUCAGUGAAGUUGAGAAUAAAAAAAACAACACAAAGGAUCAAUGAAAUGAAGAGAUGGUUCUUGAAAAGAUAAACAGCAAUGAUAAGCCCGUAGCCAAACUAUCCAAAAGCAGAGAAGACCCAAAUUAACAAAAUUAGAGAUGAAAACAGAGAACUUGCCACAGACCACAGAAAUCCUGAGGAUCGUUAGGGACUGUUUGGGAAGCUUAUACUCAAUACGUCAGAAACCACUGAAGAAACAGAUGCCUUUCUAUACACCUUCCACCUGCCAAAAUCGAAUCACAAGGACAUAGAAAAGCUCCAACAGACCCGUAACUAGCAGUGAGUUAGAAGCAGAAAUCAAAAGCCUUCCAACAGAGAAAAGCUCAGGACCCCAUGGAUUCUCCGCUGACUUCUACCAGAGCUUUGAAAAACUAAAACUAAAACCGUGCUCCACCGAGUAUUCCAUUAAGCAGACUUUGGUCCUCCUCCCAAGGUGCCUCAUUGUGUGUGUGUGCAAAUAUCCCCGAAUCAAAACACAACAAAACUGCCCUUACUGUGACUCCAUUGCAGUGUGAGCAGGCUGCACCUUGUGUCCUCAUUCCAGUUUGAAAUCCCUGAAGAUGGUGGACGAAGGCCAUGUGCACACGAGGGGCCAAGGCCCACAGGGCAGGUCUCAUGCCAUGACCCCGUACUCAGAAUCAGGAUGUGGCUGAAUCCCUCUUGGAACAUUCUGGAAGCUUGGGCCCAACUGUGUGGAAGAGUCCAGCAGUUGCUGAGGCUCUUACAUUCUCCCUCUCCUGCUCUGCUUUUCACUGUGCCCAAGCAGGGAAGACACCCCAGGUUGACUUUUUCAGGUAAACUUGUGAGAGGCUUCUCAUCUGCUCAGUGCCACAAACCCAUCCCCAUCUGAGUAACCUGAGCAUGUCCUUUAUUUCGAGAAACACAAAGAGAAAUCUGCAGCCGUAGCACUGAGCAGGUUGAGGUGGGGGUGAGGAACGAGUGCCAGGGCGAGGCAGGCCCAGAAGGUUCCUCCUGGGAGCCAGCAGGUAGGGACCCAGACCGCUCUGGUGCAGUUUGAUCAUGGACCGAAGCCCUUCUUUGAAAAGUUGCUUCUCAAAGUUUGCUCUGGGUCUAGGGUCUUGUUCCUCCCUUCCCAGCGAGGGUGCCUCCUGUCACCUCAUGCACAGUGACUCUCGCUGCCUCACUCCAAAGCUUUACCCCAGCCAGGAAGUCACAUCCCAGGAGAGGUAUUUAUUUAUUUAUGUUUGUGUUUUAAUUCCCUUUAAGGGAGCAUUUUAGAAAAAUCACAAAGAAUGAUACAAAGCGUUCCCAAAACCACUCACAAUUUCCCCUAUUUUUAGCGACCUACAUCAUAUGCUAAAUCCGUCACAAUUAACGAGCCCACCCUGAUUCAUCGCUGUUAGCUCAGGUCCACACUUUGUUCACACUUCCUUCAUUUUUCCCUCAUGUCCUUUUUCCUGUGCAGGAUCCUCCGUGACGUUUAACCCUCUCGUCUCCUUGGGGCCCUCUGGGCUGAGACCUGCCUUGAUUGUGUGACGACCUUGACAGUUUUGAGGAGUAGUAGCAGGCAGGUGUUCUGUCCCUGUCCCUCCACUGGGACUUGCCUGAUGAAAACCUCAUG
rnacentral:lncRNA from 1 species